AAGGGUAUACUCACACACACACACACACAUAUAUAUAUAUACACACAUAUACAUACAUAAAUAAGAUAGGGGGGAGAGAGAGAAAGACAGAGAGAGAGAGAGAGAGAGAGAGAGAGAGAGAGAGAGAGAGAGAGAGAGAGAGAAAGAGAGAGAGAGAGAAAGAUGCCAUCACUGUUUUACUUUGUUCUGCUUAAGUAUUGUUACAAAGAAGGCUUCAAUUCUUGGGGUGGGAGAAAGUGACUAGAAGAGAGGGUAGCAUCCAGAAAUAACUGUUUAAAAAAACAAAAGGCAUCAAUAAAACUUAUUUAAAAGCACUUCCUUACAGUUCUUAGUGUGUUUGAUGCUUUUCCAGGUUGUUAUAAAUAAUUUAUAGAAGUUGUCUGCCACUUUCAGUGUCAGAGAAUGAGGAAUUCUUAAAGCAACUUAUAUGAAACAUUGCUAAACCACUCAUAGACUGGGCAUUCAUCAUUCCAUCAUCUGGCUUUGCUACAAACAAAGAAAAACCACAAACAAAGAGGCAAAGGGCAAUACCAACGGAAGAAACAUGGCAUGGAUUUUUUUCUUUACUAAUUUAACUUACUAUGAAAAGAAGGCUUAUGAAACCACUGGGUCUCUGUGUGUCCCCCCUCCCCAGCCUCUCUGGGACAUCACAAUCUGAUAAAAUUGCCUUGGCAAGGGGAAAAGGAAAAGUUGUUGCUUCCUGGACAUCUGGGCUAUUUAUUUUUCUUCCUUCUACUUAAUGAGUAACCAGAUUUCAUCACUUUUUGUCUCAUGCAGUGUACACUGGCUCUUAUCCUGUGCCCCAUCUACCAGACCCCACUGUUGCCUCUCACAUGGCUAUGUUAGGGACAUCUGGACAUUAUCCCACAUCCAUUUAUGAUAUAGUAUGCAUCAUAAAAUGAAACAAGGGGAAGAUCAAAAAUCCAAUCAAUGGAAGCAGUCCCAGAAGGUGAGAACGAGAAUUCAAAUAACUGGACUACUGGCUAAAUGGACACUAUUUGACAUCAGAGUAUGGAAAACACCUGAGGAGAGACAGGGGCAGGGAAGAAGUGUUGCCUGUAUCACAGGAGGUGGCUGUAUCAGAGAAGACAACAAGAGUCAUCUCUGCAAGGUAAAUAAUCCAGAAGAGAAAUGUUGAAAGGGAUCUGGUACUCAUGGCAUGGUCUGCCAGGUUGAUAGCCUGACUUGCUCAGCUCAUAGCACUAUCUUUUCUGUUGGCCAAAUACUACCUCUUUCCCUAGGCUUCAGCCUGUGAACCCUUCCACAUAGAAUUCAGAGAAGCUUUAUUCCCUUGUACCUUAACCAAUAUAAAUAAAUACACACACACACACA
rnacentral:lncRNA from 1 species